rnacentral:miRNA from 1 species
AUCAAUAGAGAGACACCCACAUAUAUAUGUAUAUAUGUGGGUGUCUCUCUUUUGAU